AUGGUGCAAAGGGAGGGGUGUAACCGCCUAAUCAUCAACUUAGACAACAUGGAGGUGGUUGAGACCAUGUAGGAAGGAGGACAAUCAGCGGGGGCGGCGGCGGCAGUUUUCGAGGAUUGUUAUCACUAUGCCUGUGAUUUUGUCACGACUAGAUUCGAACAUUGUAAUAGAGUGGCAAAUAAAGUAGCUCAUGAACUUGCUAGAUUAGCUAGAUUUUCUUCGACUUCCGACUGGUUUGAGGAACCUCCAAAUGAAAUUGUAAUGAUCCUCACAAAUGAUGUACUGGUUAUUUCAAAUGAAUAA
rnacentral:rRNA from 1 species